GGAGAGAAGGAGACCAGAUCUCCCUUCUCUCCCUGCCCUGCCCCUAUGUGAGAUACAGCAAGAAGGCGAGUAUCUGCAUACCAGAAAGGGGGCCCUCACAGGCACUGAAUCUGCCAGCACCUUGAUCUUGGACUUCCCAGCUCCCAAAUGGUCCCUGUGGCAGGGGAGACGGGAACGGCCUUCUUCAGGCUCUUGGAGCUUCUCCGGCUGCUCAGCUUUCGCAGAUGGACAUUAACCCUGCCCGCAGCUGGUAGAAAAUAAACGAGCAUGACCUUUCUGGAAAGCAGCUGGACAAUGUGUUUCAAGAAUCUUGCAAAUGUUCAGAUACUUUGAUUUGACAAUUCCACCUCUUAAGGGAAUAAUCAGAGAUGGUUACAAAGUAACCAGAAUUCCUUUGAAAAUUAUCAAUGAUGCUGAAAAACUGUAAGCAAUCUCAAUGUCUAACAAUUAAAGAAUGGACACAUAAAUUUUGGCUUAGCCAUAUGAUGGAAUAUCCAGCAGCAAUUAGACUUAGGUGUUUGUAAAAUAUUAAAUGGCACAUGAGGCAAGACAGCCUAGUGUGGUAUUUUCCUGAGGGUCUUCUGCAGAACACCAGGCCACGUGGAGGUGGCCAGGAAAAAAGGUUUCCUGGCCAAAUAAGUUUGAGAAACACCACAUGCUUCCCUGGAGGUUUACAAAGCAUAAUUAGUGCAUUAAAGGCUCUGAAAAUUUUCUACAGUAAAGAAACCUAUUUAUUUUGGUUUUAGUUCAGAAUUCCCAUUCAUUUUUAAAAUCUUUUUUUCAAGUAGUAUUUAUUAACAUCUAGGGACCUCGCGUGAUCAAGAAUCACCUUUGGGGAAGUGAAGAGAACUGGACUCAAAGAGAGUCCUGAGGCUUGGCUUGGCUCUAUCCUACUUUUCUUAUUUUGUGAAACUGGUGCAGUGGGUGGGGUCAGACACAAAGCUGAGGUUUUUCCAGCUCUGUGACAACCCUCCAGAGCUCACGGCCAAGGUAAAAACAGGCUCAGGAUGGAGGCUCUCGCCUUCCGUGUAGUGUGCACUACACUUGUUUUCCCAUCCUGUACUGCCUUAUGUGCUCGCACACCCACGCGUGCGCGCGCACACACACACACACACCCCUCAGCAGCACAGUGGAAAGUCUUAUUCCAGGAAAUCUCCUAAUCCUUUAGAACACCUACUCUGCCUCAGGCAACAUUCCUUAAAUGCAGGUUUGUGGCAUCGUAAAUUCUACAGCAGCAAAAUCCUGCAAGUUGGGAAUGAGCAGUGGUGGAAAAUACAUGAAGUUUCCCAACAAGCACAGCUCCAGCUGGGCUCUGCCUCCCAGAUGAGAAUUAUCCAAGCCAGAAUGCUCUGGCAUCAGGUCCAGGAACUCGGAGUGAUGGGCUUUGUAUUAUGAUUUCCAGAGGACGCUCUGUCCCUGUUGAGUCGCUCAGGCUCGGCCUGGGCGCCUAUGCUGCUCUGUGGCAGGUCAGGUGCAAGGCCACCAUAAGGGAGCGUCAAGGGCAGAUGCCAAAAAGAGCCCAAGGUCCACUGGGAUUCAAACAAAGAGAGAAGGGGUAGAAGAAAAUUCCUGAAAUUCUCAACAUUCUCAGCUGGCAAAAGUUGAAUGGAAAAACACAUUACUGAAUGUUCUUUCUGUGCCAUUCAGAAGAAUGCUUCCGACUUUUACAUAGACCCUCUCUCUCCACAGAAAAGCAGAGGCCUAGUUAAUAUGCCUACUCAGAUGUCCUAAAACCCGAGUGUAUGCAGAGUUGAAUGAAACGGGACUGGGAGACAAUACAUCGAACUGUUAAGAUGUUCUCUCUGAAUAACGGCAGUACAGACAAACCACCACUUGCUUUGCUGUUUCUGAAUUAUUCAAAAAACCUUUCUAUUAUAUCAUAAUACAUUACUUCUGCAAUGACAGGGGGUGUCUUUUUCUUUUUUUCCCUUUCUUUCAUUUUUCUUUGAAUGUGUUGUUAGAGCCAAAAAGCUUUCUCAGCAUUCAGGGAUCCAAGGGUUGAAGCAACAGUACCAGGAGGAAGCUGGGUUUUAGAAGAGACCUGAUGAGCACCUGACUCCUUUCUGACAAAUGUGCUGCAAGCCUCAUUUAGCAGAAAAUGACACAACACAAAUCCAAACAUCUUUCCACAAAAACGAUGUUGGGAGGAAGGCAUGGAUUACUUUUAUUGAUUGACUGGGACAGGGUCUCGCUCUGUCGUCCAGGAUGGAGUACAGUGGUGCCACCACGGCUCACUGCAGCCUCAACCUCCUGGGCUCAAGUAAUCCUCUCAUCUCAGCCUCCCAGGUACCUGGGACUACAGGUGUGUGCCACCAUAUCCGGUUAAGUUUUUUUUUAAGUUUUUAUAGAGACAAGUUCACGCUAUGUUGCCCAGGCUGGUUUGAAACUCCGAGGCUCAAGUGAUCUUUUUGCCUUGGCCUCCCAAAGUGCUGGAAUUAAAGGCAUGAGCCACUGCACCCCGCUGGAUUAGUGUUUUUUUAAAAGACAAUGUAAUGAACUGGAAUAUUCCAAUCCCUAGAAUAAUGUAUAAAAAAUAAAUCAAUGAUUUAAGAUGCUGUAGAAAUGCAUUUUUUCCCACCCAUGAAAUCGUCCAAGGGCAGUGAACGUCAGCUCAUGUACCUGCAUGUUGGCAAACAAGUGGAAUUUCCUAAAACUCCAGAACUAUGCCCCACCCCACUCCUAGGUAUGUCUAUUCGCAUCAUACACAGCCACCGUGAUAUGCAUUUGCGGGGAAAGCCAGGAUGGCCAUGACGAUCACAGAAAGUUAGUCUCAUCUUGCCCUCUCUCCGCUCUGCCCAGGCUGGUUUGGUCUCUCCCAUCCUUAGCCUCAAGGUCACAGUAAGCGUACCAUGUUCAAGACAAGAGCCCACUGUGUGGGACAGUAUCUUCGCUGCACAGCCCUGAGGAGGCCUCCGAACAUGCCCCAUCACACCAGAUGCACUCAAAAACAUACGGUGUCAUUUACCCCCAUGUGCCUAGAGCCCUAGACUCUGCACUUUGCUGUGUGCCAACCCAGGCUAGCCAGCACGGCCUUCAGACCCAGCCCCAGCUCUCACGCAGCCGCACCUCCCUCCUGUCCGAGCAAAGUUCGUCUUGCCUUGACUGGACGUCCAAAGUUUCCACAAGAGCCUUCAGAUAUCCAGUGAGCUCCAAACUGGCCACACAGCCACCAGAGAGAUCCUGUUUUGAAGUGCUGGAUUAUGAUAUUUAUUUACACUGACCACAGAAUGUAUUUAUUUUUAACUUUCACUGUGGAAAUUUUCAAGCAUAUCCACAAGAAGAGAGACUAGAAUAAUGGACUUCCAUCUUCUCAUCCCCUGACUUCAAGAUCACCACUAACACAUGGACCACUGGCUUCCUUUCUACCUCGUCUCACCUCCCGCUCCAUUCCUACCCCCUGGAGUCUUUUGAAGCAAAUACUUGACAUCAUCUUAUGUUAACUGAACAUCAGAGUGAUUGAUUUCUUCCUAUAUAAAUCCAAUUGUUUCACUUCCCUGUUCAGAAUCCUUCAAACUUAGUAUAAAAGCCAAGCUCCAUUCUGUGGCAUCUUGGGUGGGACCUGGUCCCUUCUUGGGCCCGCCCUGGUCCCUUCUUGGGCCCCUCCCCUGCUUGUCUCCAGCCCCGGCCUUCUCGCUGCUCCCUAAACACAGAGGCAGGCCCACCGAGCCUCCGCACCUUCCCUGACGCCUUCUAGCAGCCUGGACCCUCCUCCACCAGCAUCCUCAAGGCCCCUCCCUCACUUCUGUCACACCUUUAAUCAACUGCCACCCUCCCUGAGAACCCUUCCCUGAAUCCCUAUCUGGACCAUAGCAAGGACUCGACAAAUAUUUAAUGACUGAAUGCAUGUAAUAAAAGUCAAUAACCCUGUGAAACCAGGGAGAGAAGACAGAGUUGUUCCUGUUAUUCAGAUGAGAAAACUGAGGCUCAGCAUGGUUAAGUGAAUUGCCCAAAGACACACAGCUCUUCUUUUUUUUUUUUGAGACGGAGUCUCUCUGUGUUGCCCAGGCUGGAGUGCACUGGCGCCAUCUCGGCUCACUGCAAGCUCCGCCUCCCGGGUUCACGCCAUUCUCCUGCCUCAGCCUCCCGAGUAGCUGGGACUACAGAUGCCUGCCACCACACCUGGCUACUUUUUUUGUAUUUUUUUAGUAGAGACGGGGUUUCGCCAUGUUAGCCAGGAUGGUCCCGAUCUCCUGACCUCGUGAUCCGCCCGCCUCGGCCUCCCAAAGUGCUGGGAUUACAGGCGUGAGCCACUGCGCCCAGUCGACACACAGCUCUUAAAUGGUGGAAAAGACUUUGAACACAGGUCUUGACUCCAAAUUCCAUGCAUUUUCCAUUCCUGUGUUGCUUCUCUGAAAUGAAACGUUGCUUCAGUUGAUAUAAUUAAGACACAGGUUUACAUCAAAUGUAUUCAUUCAUUCAACAAACAGUAUCUCACUGUUUGAACGCUCAGUAUGUGGCAGGCACUGUUCUGAGCAGCAGAGAAACUGGAGUGUGGUGGGCAGAAUAGUGUCCCCCAAAGAGGUCCAUGUCCUAAUCCCCAUCACCUGUGACUAUGUUAGGUUACAUGGGAGGUGGAAUAGGGCUCAUCAGCUGACCUUCAUAUGAGGACAUUAUCUUGCAUUCCUUGGGUGGGCCCAGUGUCCUCACAAGGCUCCUCAACAGUGAAAGAGAGAGGCAGGGGAGUGGGAGAGAGAUUUAAAAUGCUACUCUGCUGGCUCUGAAGACAAAGGAAGGGGCUACAAGCCAAGGAAUGCGAGUGGUCUCUGAAAAAGGCAAGGAAACAAGAUUCUGCCCUUGUACCUCCAGGAAGGAUUAAGGUCUGCAGAUAUUUUAAUCUUAUUCCAGUGAUACUUAUUUCUUUUUUUUUUUUUAAUCUUUUUAUGUUUUUGUUUUUGUUUUGAGACAAGGUCUCAUUCUGUUGCCCAGGCUGGAGUGCAGUGGUGCAAUCUCGGCUCACUGCAGCCUCAACCUCCUGGGCUCAAGUGGUCCUCCUGUCUCGGUCUCCUGAGUAGCUGGGACUACAGCUGCAUGUCACCACACCUGGCUAAUUUUUUAAAAACUUUUUGUAGAGAUGGGAGUCUCAUUAUAUUGCCCAGGCUGGUCUUGAACUCCUGGGCUCAAGUGAUCCUCCCAUCUCAGCCUCCAAGUAUCUGGGACCACAGGCAUGAGACCCAUUUCUGACUUCUGACCUUCAUAGCUCUAAGGGAGUCUAUCUGUGUUGUUUUAAGCCACUGAGCGUGUGGCAAUCUGUUACAGCAACAACUGGAAACAAAAAAAGAAAGUGAAGAAGGUAACAAGGUCCCUGCCCUCAAAAAGCCUCCUCUUUUUUUUGGAGUGAGGGGGAGUCUGGCACCUUCCACCGGGCCACUCUGGAUGCAGAGGUCUUCCUACCACAGGUCCGUGCUCACUGCAGCCCAGCUGCCUCUGUUAGGACAGGCUGUCAGCGCCUCAGGAACAGGUUCUUCUGUUACCAAACAAAGUCUAUUUGCUAAUUUCCUAUUCAAGAGUGACACUCAUAGGCUUUAUAGGGCUUUUCUACUGUAUUUUAGCCAGACGUAGGAAAUUAGCUCCAUAAAAGAAAAGAAGAGGACAGAAGGGAAAGGGAGUGGAAGGGAGGAGAGGAAACAAAACUAGUUGAAGUGCUUCUUAGAUUCUCGGCAAAUCCACCUCCAGACCCCCUGAAACUCCUGUCUCAGCGGCUCUGUGUUUUGGCCCCACGUCCUCUGAGAGUUGGCAGAAUGGAAACUUGGCCUCCACCCAAGAGGCACAGACAGUGCCUCAUAAUUAGAAGCUACUCAGGGCAUCCCAGACUAAAACACACAUCAGCAAAAUGUCAUUGCCUGACCUGGGAAGGUGUUCAUCU
rnacentral:lncRNA from 1 species